AGAAAUUCCAAUCGAACCUGGAGAUAGCUGGUUCUCUCCGAAAUAGCUUUAGGGCUAGCCUCAAGUGAUGAUUAUUGGAGGUAGAGCACUGUUUGGACGAGGGGCCCCUCUCGGGUUACCGAAUUCAGACAAACUCCGAAUGCCAAUUAAUUUAACUUGGGAGUCAGAACAUGGGUGAUAAGGUCCGUGUUCGAAAGGGAAACAGCCCAGACCACCAGCUAAGGUCCCAAAAUAUAUGUUAAGUGGAAAAGGAUGUGGCGUUGCCCAGACAACUAGGAUGUUGGCUUAGAAGCAGCCAUCAUUUAAAGAGUGCGUAAUAGCUCACUAGUCGAGUGACACUGCGCCGAAAAUGUACCGGGGCUAAACAUAUUACCGAAGCUGUGGAUUGUCCUUUGGACAAUGGUAGGAGAGCGUUCUAAGGGCGUUGAAGCAUGAUCGUAAGGACAUGUGGAGCGCUUAGAAGUGAGAAUGCCGGUGUGAGUAGCGAAAGACGGGUGAGAAUCCCGUCCACCGAUUGACUAAGGUUUCCAGAGGAAGGC
rnacentral:rRNA from 1 species